GAUGAACGCUGGCGGCGUGCCUAACACAUGCAAGUCGAGCGGGAAAUUUUAAAAUGAAGCUUCGGUAGAUUUUUAAGAUGGAGAGCGGCGGACGGGUGAGUAACGCGUAGGCAACCUGCCCUUUGCAGAGGGAUAGCCAUUGGAAACGAUGAUUAAAACCUCAUAAUACUAAAUAGUCACAUGGCUGUUUGGUCAAAGAUUUAUCGGCAAAGGAUGGGCCUGCGUCUGAUUAGCUAGUUGGUGGGGUAACGGCCUACCAAGGCGACGAUCAGUAGCCGACCUGAGAGGGUGAUCGGCCACAUUGGAACUGAGACACGGUCCAA
rnacentral:rRNA from 1 species